rnacentral:rRNA from 1 species
AUCUUCGGCAAUGGGCGCAAGCCUGACCGAGCGACGCCGCGUGUGCGAUGAAGGCCCUUCGGGUUGUAAAGCACUGUCGAGAGGAAGCAAGCCGCAAGGUUGAGCGACCUCUGGUGGAAGCACGGGCUAAGUUCGUGCCAGCAGCCGCGGUAAGACGAACCGUACGAACGUUGUUCGGAAUCACUGGGCUUAAAGGGCGCGUAGGCGGGAUGGCAAGUCGGAGGUGAAAGCCCCCAGCUUAACUGGGGAAGUGCCCUCGAUACUGCCGUUCUCGAGAGAGGUAGGGGCGUGUGGAACUUCCGGUGGAGCGGUGAAAUGCGUAGAUAUCGGAAGGAACGCCGGUGGCGAAAGCGAUGCGCUGGACCUUUUCUGACGCUGAGGCGCGAAAGCCAGGGUAGCGAACGGGAUUAGAUACCCCGGUAGUCCUGGCCCUAAACGAUGGGUACUGGGUUGCGGGUCAGACAUGGACUCGCAGCCGAAGCAAAAGUGGUAAGUACCCCGCCUGGGGAGUAUGGUCGCAAGGCUGAAACUCAAAGGAA